CUCCAGCUGUUCUAGAAGCAAAGAAUCCUGGUGGUCAUUUCUUUACUGCACUGUAUCUGAUAAAGACAUCAGAUACCCAAAAAUAAGAAUAUGGAAAUAACAAAUUCCUCUUCACAAUGAUUAGUUUAAGUUCAUUUCACCUAACCCUAUACUGGAGUUGUACACACAUGUCAACUUUCUCCAGUUUACCACCUGAAUGAUUAACAUUAAGUUUCACUGGCAUCUUAAGCACUUCUUUCACCACUGUUUGCCAAAACACCAUGCACAUUUUAGCCAAGACACAAGCUGAGGAAUCAUUACAUGGUGUCGCUCAAAUCUUCUCCGCAGGGGCCCAACAAAGGCGGUAGGGAAGCGCCAUCAUCCCAACGUGCUUGUUUACUACAUAAGCACUUUCACCCUUUGCUGAAUAUGAGCAGCCUCAGGUGGGCUGUAAAUAAGAGUGCUGAUUUAUUUGUGUACAGGUGCUGAAUUAUUCAUUUCAACUAGUGUUUUUUUUUUUUUUUUUUUUCGUGCAGGUGAUGGAGAAAGACAACUAUGAGGAAGACGGAGAGACGAAACCCAGAAAGUGCGGUCAUGUUUGGAUCUUCAGAACAUGGUUUUGGACUCAAGUUCGGGACUGAUUUAUCUACGCUUGAAUCGUUUUCCUGUGCUGUCCUGCUCGGCUUGUGUUCGCCUUCAGUCCACUUGUCAUCAUUUUCCUGUCAGGCCGACGGAGAUUUAAUUUCUGAUUGUGUAAGACGAAGCAUAAGCAGACGGGAAGAAAGUGGGUUUUUACCUGAUGGCUAUUCCAGGCUGUGAGCAGGUUGAUGGUCCAGGAGAUUUACGAGGGAGGGGUUAUAUCCCUCCUCCGCCCGGGAGUCAAACAGACGAGCGUCUCAACAAGACAGUCAGGCACCUCCAUGUUGCACUGGGAGAAGACCGGAGCAGUCUACGAGCUGCACAGCUGUCAGCUUCCCAUUGGUUCUCACUGGACCUGCAGAAAUGAUCGUCCAAAGGUUUUAUUCAUCGUCAAUCACAGAAUACUCUCUUACUGACUUUAUUGGAACUUCACGGUUUACUUUAACAAUCCACUUUAUUUAAAAAGAAUAGUCCUCCCGCUGAUACUUGGAGAAAUCACGAGUCUCUACUUCUCCACCAGAGUUAAUCCCUCCUUGAAAAAGCAGCUUGUAGAUAGAAAACUGUUGUGAAACCGAGUGCCUAAGGGUUGAGGGCUUUUGGGAAACCAUGGUGGGCAUUUAUAGGUAAAACAAAAUGAAAAAGAUCUGCAGAUUAAUCAAUAAUGGAAAUUACAUCUGGAUUCUGCAUUACAUUGUCUCAGUGGGUUUUACAAUCUGUGUGAUUCAAACAAGGACAAACAAACCUCCAAAAAAGACAUUUUAACUUUCAAUAAAUGGCAGAAACCUUGUGAAGAGCCACAGAGGAGAGAUUGAAUGUAUACUGAUGUACUUUGUUUUUGAGGACAACACGGAGGAAUCAGAACAUCUCAUCCUUGUCGCCUAAAAAAGAGCAAAACAACAAAUAUUUGGUCCCAUGCUUCUUCUACUCUUCAUCCCUGAAUGCGCCACUGAAAACCAAAGCUCAGUUUUUUUUCAAAAUACCUCCACAAUCAGUUUUUUGUUUGUUUUUUUCACAGUGAGGAUUGAGCCAUCACUUCCUCUGUCUCUUCUCUGAGCUUCUCUUCUGAAGAGAUCAGUUCCAGCUUCUCUGCUCCUGCCAGUGAAACUUUAUAUCCGAGUCGCACGGCUGCAGUUAAAGCACGAGAAUGGAAAACGAGCGGUUUGGAAAAGUGGUGAAUGUGAUAUCUGGCUUAUCCAAAAUCCCACUCUUUGGCUGUGGCUGUUUCCCUGAAAGAUGCAGCAUGUGUGGGACAUCUGUUUUAGUGGUGUUGGAGUGGUGACUAAUGAAAUAACACUGGCUGGCCAGCAGCAAUCUCCCAUGAUCAGACAAACAGUCUGUUUUUCCCCCUUUAGAAACGGAAAGAAAAACUAAUUUGGGUGCCGACAGAUUGAGAGGCGAAGCUUCGUUGAAUAACACCCAGACUGAAUAGAUUGAUGACGUUCUGUCAGAUAUCGUGGAUGUCUUGAUGACUGGAUAUUAAAGGUUACACAGAAAACAAGCAAAAUGAAAGAAGAGAUUUAUGUUUAUGGUGUUUCACCAGAUUCAGCUCUCAGCAUGUAGGUCAUAUGCUUUACAGAUUAGUUGUUGUAGAUGCAUUAUGACCUGCUUUUUCAACUUUGUCAACUUGACUUUUAAAUGGCAAGAAUUUAUACAUGUAUAUUUAUUUGAUUUACUUUUUGAAAGAUGGAUUUCUUUGUUACUUCACUUCUCAAAUUAAAUUCUAGAUUUUUAACUUUGCUUUCUUGUUGUUCAGUAGCCUGUUGGUGAGAGAUAGAAAUAAUGAUUGACUGACUUGAAGGCACUUAAAGGCUAUUUUUAAAGGUUUUUUGUGACAUUUCAUUGUGUUUAACUGAUUAAUUGGGAACAUAAUAAGCUAAAUAAUCAAUAAUGAAAUGAUCAUCACAGUCAUGAUGUUUAUGGCUAUGUAUAUGGCUUCUGUGUAAAACACUGAUUUUCUGUUAGAAGUGAGAACAAAUAAAAUGACCAGUGUAAAAGUACUUUACUGUAAACAUACAUAUAUAGUUUCAUUGGCUAAAUAUGCAAAAGUACAUAAUAUGUAGAAUGGAUCCACUUACAGCAUUAUAAAAUUAUAAAAUAUUAUAUUUACAAGUAUCUCAAAAUGUGUUUUUUUCAGUCGUUUUUCAGCUCCAACAAAUAAGCUAAAUUAGAAAAGUGAAAACCAACAUAUUCAUAGUUCAUGAUCAUGUAAAUAAAGGUUAUUUGCAGUCGUGUUGAACUUUCUGAAUGGGGGGUUUGAUGUGCGGUCUCUUCCAGUGAAACCCCUCGCGCAGCAGCUCGGUGGCAGAUGUGUGCAGAUGUGUGGAGGUGUGGGUCAUGAGAAGGUGUACCGCAGAUGCCCCUCCUAACACACUGUGAUGCUGCAGCCCGCAGAAGUCUGUGGUCAGCCGCUGCAGUCCGGCGUCUGCGAUCAGCCGACAGCCUCCAGUCCUCCAAAACCACCACAAGAGACCUGAACCCAGCCUCCAGCCAGGACUCCCUCCCGCUCCCACUCGCUCUGCGGCGGAUAUCGGGACAGGACGGCUGCGCUCCUGUUGCUCCGAGCAGAACACGGGACGGUCGGUCACAGCGCUGGGUCUGGUUGUGGUUGUAAAGUCGA
ensembl:lncRNA